rnacentral:rRNA from 1 species
GUCACGCCCUUCUUCUCCAUGUCCUUCAGCGCCAUGUCGUCGUACAGGCUCGCGUUCAGGACCAGCCGGUAGUUACCCUUGGCCCUCAUAACGAGCCGGGACCUCUCGCCGCCAGACACGGGGACGUUCAGCUUUAGCUCCCCUUUUCCUCUUUCUUUCCAGCCCCCAUCGAGGUACUCGUACAUUGCGGAGUCUGCGGUGAACACGGCCAUCUCGUUCUCUUCGCCUGUCUCCACUGGGCCCUCUGGCAUGGUGAAUUUCUUUGGUGCUUCUGCUGCAGCAACAAGCGAUGGAACAGAACUCCCGUUGUUGUUUGUACCACCGAUAUUGAAAGAAGGGAAGGAUGAACCAUCGCUCUUUAGCCCAAAUAGGGGAGCAUUUGUGCUCUCUUUAGAAGCUGAGCCAAAGGAAAAUGAUGAGGCUGAAAACCCAGUUCCAGCCAGUCCUGUGAAGGCGUUAUGGCCACUUGACACAUUCAUAAAAGAGAACAGAGGUGUUGGUGAUACAUCCUUGGUCCCUGAUUCAGAUUCAUCUUUCUUCUCAGCGCCGUCCUUGCUGCUUUUAUCUUCAUCUCCACCUUCAUUCACUUUAGCACCUUCAUCUUCUGUUUUACCCUCGAUUCCAGAUGUCUUGCUGUUAUCUACCUUGGGUUCUCCAACCAGCACUUUGUCCUCACCAGUUCCACCCUCUGUGCUGCCUGCCUUGUUAUCAGUUUCAGUAAGUGAAGAGUGUGCUUCCAUUGGCGCAUUCGACUUGUUUUCUGCAUUUGACUCAUUCAGGCCCAAUUCAUCCUUUUGAAUCUCUGCUACCUCAUUAGAAUCUGCAUUCUUGUCAGCAUCUUUCCC